rnacentral:rRNA from 1 species
UUUUAGUUUGCCCCCCCGAAACUAAGUGAGCUACUUUGAAAUAGCCAUGAGAGCCAACCCAUCUCUGUUGCAAUAGAGUGGGACAAUUUUUAAGUAGAGGUGAUAAGCCUAUCGGACUUAGAGAUAGCUGGUUUUUUAAGAAAAGAAUUUUAGUUCAGCCCUAAGCCUCCUAUUACACAAAUAUUUUACUAGACUUAGGUGUUAUUCAAAUAAGGCACAGCUUAUUUGAAACAGGAUACAACCUACAACAAAGGGUAAGACAAAUUACACUUUUGAUAAGUGGGCCUAAAAGCAGCCACCUUUAAAAAAGCGUCAAAGCUUAACAUUAAAAUUUAAUUAAUACCCAAAACAACUUCUAACCCUUAUUAACUAUUAAAAAACCCCAUAAUAUUAUGGAAGUUAUUAUGCUAGAACAAGUAACAAGAAAAAGACUUUCUCCAAAAUGUAGACUUAAGCCAUGAUAGACAAACUGAUGGCAAUCAACGUUUAUGAGCCACUUAUAGUAACCCACCAAGA